CCGCACGAAGCUGGAAUCGCUAGUAAUCGCGAAUCAGAAUGUCGCGGUGAAUACGUUCCCGGGUCUUGUACACACCGCCCGUCACACCAUGGGAGUCGGAAAUGCCCGAAGUCUGUGACCGAACCGAAAGGAAGGAGCAGCCGAAGGCAGGUCGGAUGACUGGGGUGAAGUCGUAACAAGGUAUC
rnacentral:rRNA from 1 species